GCAAUCUUCUAUAAGGACAUUCUCAAUACAAAUUAAAGCUUUAAAGUUUGCCUUUGCUCCCUUUAAAGAGGCUUCCCAUAGCCUUUGCCUUGUUUCUGAGGACAAACUUCUGUGUCUUCCCAGUCGAAGUCUUUGGGAGAUCC